rnacentral:rRNA from 1 species
UCGGGAAUUUUGGGCAAUGGGGGAAACCCUGACCCAGCAACGCCGCGUGAAGGAUGAAGUAUUUCGGUAUGUAAACUUCGAAAGAAUAGGAAGAAUAAAUGACGGUACUAUUUAUAAGGUCCGGCUAACUACGUGCCAGCAGCCGCGGUAAUACGUAGGGACCAAGCGUUGUUCGGAUUUACUGGGCGUAAAGGGCGCGUAGGCGGCAUGACAAGUCACUUGUGAAAUCUCUGGGCUUAACCCAGAACGGCCAAGUGAUACUGUCGCGCUAGAGUGCAGAAGGGGCAAUCGGAAUUCUUGGUGUAGCGGUGAAAUGCGUAGAUAUCAAGAGGAACACCUGAGGUGAAGACGGGUUGCUGGGCUGACACUGACGCUGAGGCGCGAAAGCCAGGGGGAGCAAACGGGAUUAGAUACCCUCGUAGUCCCUGAGCGGGCUGGCAAGGCGCAU